GGGUCGUUACGGGAAUUGAACCCGUGACCUCCUGUACCCAAAACAGGAAUCAUACCACUAGACCAAACGACCUUGCUAUGCGAAGCCAUAGAGUCAAUCGUAAGCUACAUAGAGCACGGCUCUACAACUCGUGCGGCAGUCAAGAAGCACCGUAGCGCAGUGGAAGCGCGAUGGGCUCAUAACCCAUAGGUCGUUGGAUCGAAACCAAUCGGUGCUAUUCUUUUGGUCUCAGAAACAAACAGCGCCCUGAUGCAACACAACUGCAGCAUGAUUCGCAAGGUGAGAUGGUCGAGUGGUCUAAGACGUUGGAUUAAGGUUCCAAUCCUUUCGAGGGCGUGGGUUCAAACCCCACUCUCAUCAUUUUUUUGCCCACCGGAAGGACGAGGCCCGUUGGGAAACAGGCCUGCAAACUCGAGGUUCCCGAAUCCACAUGAACCGAGCCGGUGUAAACGCUCAUCAUCACAACCCGGUGAGAGCGCUGUGUUGGCGCUCUGAAAGUGUGAAAAGUCGCCAACGUUGAAUGCAUCCCUCCUUGCAUAUUCCUCCCCAUGCCAGAGUGCACCCUAGCCCUCUUCUGUCGCAUGUUUCUCCCUUAGAGAAAAAACGAUUUCCAUAUCCCCGCGCGCUUCUACGCAGUUCUCGCGAUCCACAUGCGUACACGAAGGCAUGCACGAACAAACAUACAGCGCGGUCACCUGUCUCUUGAUGUGCUUUUGGCAUGGGGCUUCGCCAGCGCCGACAAAGGUGCUCCAGCUCCACUGGCGAUCAAGCGGGGUGAUACGCCCAACCCGUCACCGAUAAGCAGCGAACACCACGCUGCCUUUCCGCGGCCCAAAGAGGGGCCUGAGGAGCGCACCGCGUGGCAUAUAAGCGGUGAGCCCCGCGCUUCGGGAGAAAGACCCCCCCCCACCCCCGCACGACACAGAACGGGCUCAUCAGGAAUACCGUUCUACAAGUGGUAGAUCUUGACGCGGCGCGCCACGGCGCAAGCCAAGAGGGGGGGGGUCGGGUACCAGGCGAUGAUGUCGACCCUAAAAAAAAAGAUUUUGGUGUGAAAGCGUGGCCCCGCACACGCCGCCAAAGACGCCGCUUGGACCCGGAUUUUGUUGCUGGGGUCCCUGCCUCCCCCGACUUCGGCCUAAAGAAAAGAAGGACCCACCCGGGUUUGAACCGGGGACCAUUCGGACUGCAGCCGAAUGCUCUACCACUGAGCUAUGAAUCCGAUGCACCAAUCACAAAAAAAACAUUAAUGUAUUCUUUCUUGAAAACAAGUCUCAUAUAUAAGCCCAUUUGCCGUCCCAUAUGUCUUCGUUAUUCUUUGGAACCGCUGCUUCGACUUUUACUAAGCAGCGCUCCUAACCUUCUCGCAAAUUUUGCGGCCCCCACAGGGCAUCUGUACUUUUUUUUUUCAAACCAUGAAGUUGUGCAUUUGACUCUUCGCGCGGCAAAACGCUUCUUGAAGGGUGAACACUUGAUAAG
rnacentral:tRNA from 1 species